CCCGAAUAUAAGCCCACCUGUGUAUAAGCCCACCACAUGUACUAACGCUCACCUCAUUCCAAAUAUAAGCCCACCCGAAUAUAAGCCAACCCAAAUAUAAGCCCAAUUGUUUAUCACUAUACAGGGUGUAUCAAAAAAAACUGAACAGAUUUGAAAUUGCUCUCAAUUUCGCAAAACACCGAUUUGUAUCCGGUUUUUUAUAGAUAUAGCUUCUUUGGGUACUUAUAGAAUGUAGAAUAAUGAAAAAAAUUUCUUGAACUCAAAUAUUGUGAACCAGGGGGGUGUGUCUUUUCCAACAAAAUAAAAAUGGCUUGCGCACAAAAUUUAAAAGCUGUAAUCAUAUUUUGAGUUAAUAGAUGGAACAUUUGUCGGAUUUUUAAUUACUGUACAAAAUUUCAGACAAUUUGGUUUAGUUUAAGCCGUUUAACUAUUCACGCAAACUUACAUUUUUCCUAAAAAUCAGCUAUUUGCAUGCUUAAUUAAUGCAUUUGCCUAAUUUGCAUAUGUUAGCAAUAUGCAAAUUAGGUAAAUGCAUUAAUUAAGCAUGCG